rnacentral:rRNA from 1 species
UGGGGAAUCUUGCACAAUGGGGGCAACCCUGAUGCAGCGACGCCGCGUGAGCGAUGAAGCCCUUCGGGGCGUAAAGCUCUUUCGACCGGAACGAUAAUGACGGUACCGGGAGAAGAAGCUGCGGCUAACUACGUGCCAGCAGCCGCGGUAAUACGUAGGCAGCAAGCGUUGUUCGGAGUUACUGGGCGUAAAGAGAGCGUAGGCGGUUUUCUAAGUUCGGUGUGAAAUCUCCCGGCUUAACUGGGAGGGUGCGCCGAAGACUGGGAAGCUGGAGUGUGGGAAAGGCAGGCGGAAUUCCUGGUGUAGCGGUGAAAUGCGUAGAUAUCAGGAGGAACACCGGCGGUGUAGACGGCUUGCUAGACCAUAACUGACGCUGAGGCACGAAAGCGUGGGUAGCAAACA